rnacentral:sRNA from 1 species
GGCCUAAACUAUUGAUAUUUCAGUGGCAUGGUCGCAAAUCGAAGAGUACAAACAACCCGUUAUCAGGGCGUACUCUUCGUUGCAUAGGGAAACUUAUGUAGGAGCUUCGGCUCU